GGGGGUUGUUUGGGGGUCCCUGCGCCCCCUCCCCAAUAUAAGGAGUCAAUAUGGGGUUGUUUGGGGGUCCCUGUGCCCCCUCCCCAAUAUAAGGAGUCAAUAGGGGGAUGCUGGGGUUGUUUGGGGGUCCCUGUGCCCCCUCCCCAAUCUGAGCAGUCAAUAUGGGGAUGCUGGGGGUCCCUGCGCCCCCUCCCCAAUAUGAGCAGUCAAUAGGGGGAUGAUGGGGUGGGUGGGGGGGUUGUUUGGGGGUCCCAAACCCCCU
rnacentral:lncRNA from 1 species